UACAGAGACUGCAAGCGUUAUUCGGAUUCACUGGGAGUAAAGGGUGCGCAGGCGGCCAAGUGUGUGAGGCGUGAAAGCCCGGGGCUUAACCCCGGAAUUGCACCUCAAACUACAUGGCUAGAGCAUUGGAGAGGGUAGCAGAAUUCAUGGUGUAGCAGUGAAAUGCGUAGAUAUCAUGAGGAAUACCGGUGGCGAAGGCGGCAUCCUGGACCAACACUGACGCUGAGGAGCGAAAGCCAGGGGAGCAAACGGG
rnacentral:rRNA from 1 species